GUGNNNNAGUCGCGAAUACUCCGCAAUGCGGGCAACCGCGACGGGGCUACCCCGAGUGCCGGGCGAAGAGCCCGGCUUUUGCCCGGUCUAAAAAGCCGGGAGAAUAAGCGGGGGGCAAGUCUGGUGUCAGCCGCCGCGGUAAUACCAGCUCCGCGAGUGGUCGGGGUGUUUACUGGGCUUAAAGCGCCCGUAGCCGGCCCGGCAAGUCGCUCCUGAAAUCCCAGGGCUCAACCCUGGGGCGGGGGGCGAUACUGCCGGGCUAGGGGGCGGAAGAGGCCGCCGGUACUCCGGGGGUAGGGGCGAAAUCCGUUAAUCCCCGGAGGACCACCAGUGGCGAAAGCGGGCGGCCAGAACGCGCCCGACGGUGAGGGGCGAAAGCCGGGGGAGCAAAGGGGAUUAGAUACCCCUGUAGUCCCGGCCGUAAACGAUGCGGGCUAGCUGUCGGCUGGGCUUAGGGCCCGGCCGGUGGCGAAGGGAAACCGUUAAGCCCGCCGCCUGGGGAGUACGGCCGCAAGGCUGAAACUUAAAGGAAUUGGCGGGGGAGCAC
rnacentral:rRNA from 1 species